rnacentral:misc_RNA from 1 species
CCGAAUUGUCAACAAGAGUUGUUGCUGGUCCUCAAACGGGGGCAUGUGCACGCUCUGUUAACACAUCCACUCACACCCUGUGCACCCUCUGUAGUUCUGUGGUUGGGGGACCUGUCCUCCUGCUGUGGUUCUGCAUCUUUACACACACACACUGUAACAAAGUCUCAUGGAAUGCAUCUGCGUUUAACGCAAUACAAUA